UAUAUAUCAGAAACCCUAACUGAAGUGGUCCUAUAAGGCUCUGUGGUAAUUCUAUAUUCUUCAAAAAACCUAUAAUAAAAUAUAUACAUAGAUAAGUAAUAAAUAGAUUUUUUUUCUUCUGUUAUCCCUGUUUUUCAGGAAGAAGCAAAAUGCAACCUAAUGAAUUGGAGACAAUUGGUGGCGGUUUAUAAUAAUUUAGUCCAAAGCCACCGCCAACACCAAAGUGGACAGCUUUGGUUCCAGUGGGUUGCUCCACCAUUGCUACUGACAUAAAUCACAUCACACCAGCUGCUAAAGGGCUUGAGAACCUGAUCACACACCCAGCCCACUGCUACCACUACCAGCAUCUGAGAAAGCCACCUGGAGCCCAAGAAUCAGCCUGCUUACACCCAAUAACACUUGUGCCAGUGUAAACCACACUGGGGCCCAAGGACAAACAUGCUCAGUCCACCAUUGCCACUACUGAGGCCUGAAAACUGACCCACCUGGAAUCUUGGCCUCCAGAACAACUUUAUCACAAACUCUACUGCAACCACACCUAAUGCCACUGAGGAAAUCACAAAUACUGCUGAUGUUAUUCACUGAUAAAUAAAUCAUUCAGAAUUAUUUGGCACCCACAAUCAAAGCCAAAUUGCCCUCCAUGAUCAAGACCAUAGACGCCCUUCAGGAAAACAUUCUGCCCUACAAAAGCAAAUUUUAAAAAAUCAGAAGGAGUGAUUAUUAUACCACAUGGACAGCUAUAAAUAUUAGGACAAAAGGAACAUACCUCAAAAUAAUAAAGCCCAGAUAGGGCAAAUCUACAGCUAACAUCAUAUUGAAUGUAAAAGCUCUCAGAACUGGAACAAGAAAAGGAUGUCUAGUUUUACUAUGCCUGUUCAACAUAAUAUUGGAAGUCCUAGCCAGAGCAGUCAGUCAAGAAUAAAUAGACAUUCAAAUUGGGAAAAAGUAAGUCAAAUUGUCCCUCUUUGCAGAUGAUAUUGUUUUAUAUCUAGAAAAAUCUAAAGACUUCACCAAAAAACUAUUAGAUCUGAUAUAUUCAGAAAAUUGCAGGAUGUAGAAUCAACAUACAAAAAUUAUUAGGGUUUCUACAUAUGAAUAAUAAACUAGCUGAGAAAGAAAUCAAUAAGGCAAUCCCAUCUAUAAUAACUAAAAACAUUUCUAAGAAUGAACUUACCCAAGGAGGUGAAAGUCCUCUGCAAGAAAAACGACAAAACGUUGAUGAAAGAAAUUGAAGAGGACACAAACAAAUGGAAGGAUAUGCCUGUUCAUGGAUUAGAAGAAUUAAUAUCAUUAAACUAACCACGUUCCUCCAAACAAUACAGAUUCAAAGCAAGCUUUAUCAAAAUACUAAUGUCAUUUUUCACAGACAUAGAAAAAAAAUCCUUAAAUUCACACAGAACUAA